UGAUAAAGCCACUAGUCUGUACUGCAGGUCUCUCUGUGAUAUGAUAAAGCCACUAGUCUGUACUGCAGGUCUCUGUGUGAUAUGAUAAAGCCACUAGUCUGUACUGCAGGUCUCUGUGUGAUAUGAUAAAGCCACUAGUCUGUACUGCAGGUCUCUGUGUGA